rnacentral:rRNA from 1 species
AUACGAAGGGGGCUAGCGUUGUUCGGAAUUACUGGGCGUAAAGCGCGCGUAGGCGGAUUGGUCAGUUAGGGGUGAAAUCCCAGGGCUUAACCCUGGAACUGCCUCUAAUACUGCCAGUCUUGAGUUCGGGAGAGGUGAGUGGAAUUCCUAGUGUAGAGGUGAAAUUCGUAGAUAUUAGGAAGAACGCCAGUGGCGAAGGCGGCUCACUGGCCCGAUACUGACGCUGAGGCGCGAAAGCGUGGGGAGCAAACAGGAUUAGAUACCCUAGUAGUCC